rnacentral:sRNA from 1 species
CCUGCCCUCGGGGCUGCCCACGCCCCCUUCAGAUCCUUUGCUCCGGAGAGAGACCUGUCCAAGCAGAGGCCUGGACUACAUCUCCCGGCGUGCCUGGCAGUGUGGUGGCCUCUGUGCGCCGUCUGCACUCGUUGCAGGCGACGAUGCAGAGGGCUGUAAGUGUGGUGGCCCAUCUGGGCUCUCGCCUGCAGGCAUUCUCCCCGGCCUUGUGUCGUCCAUUUAGUUGCGCACAGGUGGGAUAGAGGGUGCUGGUCUUGGAGGGUGGGGGAGGGAAGCGGCUGGGGGCUAGGGCCCUGGUGGCACUAAGCCCAGCCGCCCGCAGGAGGUGCUCCGCCGGACACCGCUGUAUGACUUCCACCUGGCCCACGGCGGGAAAAUGGUGGCGUUUGCGGGUUGGAGUCUGCCAGUGCAGUACCGGGACAGUCACACUGACUCGCACCUGCACACACGCCAGCACUGCUCGCUCUUUGACGUGUCUCAUAUGCUGCAGACCAAGAUACUUGGUAGUGACCGGGUGAAGCUGAUGGAGAGUCUAGUGGUUGGAGACAUUGCAGAGCUAAGACCAAACCAGGGGACACUGUCGCUGUUUACCAACGAGGCUGGAGGCAUCUUAGAUGACUUGAUUGUAACCAGUACUUCUGAGGGCCACCUGUAUGUGGUGUCCAACGCUGGCUGCUGGGAGAAAGAUUUGGCCCUCAUGCAGGACAAGGUCAGGGAGCUUCAGAACCAGGGCAGAGAUGUGGGCCUGGAGGUGUUGGAUAAUGCCCUGCUAGCUCUGCAAGAUCUCGGUGCCGGUAGCGGGGGCAGUUCACCUGGCAACAGCUCUUCUGAAAAACCCAGAGGUGAAGCUGGCAGGGCUGGCAGCCAGGGACAGCCUGCGCCUGGAGGCAGGCCUCUGCCUGUACGGGAAUGACAUUGAUGAACACACUACACCUGUGGAGGGCAGCCUCAGUUGGACACUGGGGAAGCGCCGCCGAGCUGCUAUGGACUUCCCUGGAGCCAAAGUCAUUGUUCCCCAGCUGAAGGGCAAGGUGCAGCGGAGGCGUGUGGGGUUGAUGUGUGAGGGGGCCCCCAUGCGGGCACACAGUCCCAUCCUGAACAUGGAGGGUACCAAGAUUGGUACUGUGACUAGUGGCUGCCCCUCGCCCUCUCUGAAGAAGAAUGUGGCGAUGGGUUAUGUGCCCUGCGAGUACAGUCGUCCAGGGACAAUGCUGCUGGUAGAGGUGCGGCGGAAGCAGCAGAUGGCUGUAGUCAGCAAGAUGCCCUUUGUGCCCACAAACUACUAUACCCUCAAGUGAAGCUGGCUCAGGGUGGGGCUGUCCCUUCCAGAAGUUUUGCCCCUACAAGGGGUUAGUCAAGAAGCUGAGGCAGAACUCACUGGGGGUGGGCAGUUAAGGUGGAGGCUGAUUCUAAUUGUCUGGCUGAGGGGCCACACCACCUAUUCCCCCCACCUAACUCAUGCCACUCCAGCUUCCUUCAGGACCCUGCUUCUGAGUGACGGACCAGCUCACACAAUGUCUUGUUUCAGUCCAUGAUCCCACUGACCUACUCUUGCCUGCUGGAGGGUAAUGAGAAGCUUUGGUUCUGCCAUCUCUCCCACUCUGCCAGGUGCUGGCUGUGGAGCAAAGGCUCACCUUUGUGGGGAGGAUAAAACCUGCCCAACCUACCUCACCAUGGUUUUUCACAUUGCAAACGGUAAUAACAUGGGCAGUGUGGACUUAGGCUACCCCCUCCAGUUUGCUUUCCGUAAAUGCAAAUUGUCCCUACUGCAAGUCAGGAAUGAUUGCCGACUCACAGUAGGGCUGCUAUGCCUGUGUGUAAACUUGGGGAUGGCUGAGGGAACACAGACUCACUCUUCCGCAUUCCCAAGUUGGUCUAGUGUGCUGCCCAGUAGCAAACCAUGGCAGGCUCACCACCUAUUCUGAGCUCCAGGGCUGUUGUAGGGCAGGGUGGGCUUCCUCCCAGACUUGCCUUACCCUGGGCUGAUCUUUGCCCCUGGUAUGCAUUAAUGGACUCCACUGAAUCCUGAAAAAAAAUUA